rnacentral:sRNA from 1 species
CUGUCUUCAACCAUUCCCUGUACCGCACAUUCGUUCCAGCCAUGACCGCCAUUCACGGCCCACCCAUCACGGCCCCAGUGGUGUGCACCCGGAAGCGCAGGCUUGAGGAUGAUGAGCGGCAGAGCAUCCCCAGUGUGCUCCAGGGUGAGGUGGCCAGGCUGGACCCCAAGUUCCUGGUAAACCUGGACCCUUCUCACUGCAGCAACAAUGGCACUGUCCACCUGAUCUGCAAGCUGGGUGAGUGUCCAGAGGGCCAGGACUGGUGUGGGAAAGCAGGCCCUGACCGCAGCCCCAGGACUCUGCCAUCCAAGCCAGAUGGCACAGCGCCCAGAACCCACCCUGUGUUCACGCCCCGCCAGGCUGUCUGCUCUAUCCUCACACACACCGGGCUCC